rnacentral:rRNA from 1 species
CGCAAUGGGCGAAAGCCUGACGGGGCAAUGCCGCGUGGAGGAUGAAGGCCCAAUGGGUCGUAAACUUCUUUAGAUCAGAGACGAAAAGAUGACGGUACCUGAAGAACUAAGCAUCGGCUAAACCCCGUGCCAGCAGCCGCGGUAAGACGGGGGAUGCGAGCGUUAUCCGGAAUGAUUGGGCGUAAAGGGUCCGCAGGUGGCCCGGUCAGUCCGCUGUCAAAGCCUGGGGCUCAACCCCGGAGAGGCGGCGGAGACCACCGGGCUUGAGUCCGGUAGGGGCAGAGGGAAUUCCCGGUGGAGCGGUGAAAUGCUUAGAGAUCGGGAAGAACGCCAAGGGCGAAGGCAAUAGGUUUACAACCAUUGGCGUUCAACCCUCAGGGG